CUGCCGGCGGUGGGGGGUAGUUGGUGGAGACGAGACACCCAGGAUGGUACUCUGGUAGGGGCCGCCGACUUGGGAAUGGCCGCUUUCGUCUCGGAAAUCGGGACGCGACGGCUUAGCGACCUGCGGGCGGAGCUGAAAUAGCGGAGCCUGGACACGGGCGGCAACAAGUGUCCUGAUAGAACGGCUGUAAGAAGGGAAUUCAUAUGGAAGCAUAAGGAGAAUGACAGGGAGUCAGAUCCCCGAAUGGAAGACAUUUCCCGAGUUGAACCCAGGUAAUUCACACACAAACUGCUAGUUUGAGUGGGCUAGCAACCUAGAAGCUUAGAACCCAGAAGGGCCGCUGGAGUUCUUCGUCCUUAAGAUUGAGCUUGGACCAAAAAAAGAAUGUGCCUGGAUUGGAAUGUCCCUGUAAUGGGGUGGGUAGUCAAGGCUUAGCUUUCUAAUGAAGGGGGUGGGGGUUCCUUGGUUGGGGAGCUAACACAUACCUCAAGACCAGAAAAACCAAAAGGUAAAUAUUGUAAAAAUUCAAUAAAGACUUUGAAAAUG